GACGAACGCUGGCGGCGUGCUUAACACAUGCCAGUCGAACGAAGAGCGAUGGAAGCUUGCUUCUAUCAAUCUUAGUGGCGAACGGGUGAGUAACGCGUAAUCAACCUGCCCUUCAGAGGGGGACAACAGUUGGAAACGACUGCUAAUACCGCAUACGAUCUAACCUCGGCAUCGAGGAUGGAUGAAAGGUGGCCUCUAUUUAUAAGCUAUCACUGAAGGAGGGGAUUGCGUCUGAUUAGCUAGUUGGAGGGGUAACGGCCCACCAAGGCGAUGAUCAGUAGCCGGUCUGAGAGGAUGAACGGCCACAUUGGGACUGAGACACGGCCCAGACUCCUACGGGAGGCAGCAGUGGGGAAUCUUCCGCAAUGGACGAAAGUCUGACGGAGCAACGCCGCGUGAGUGAUGACGGCCUUCGGGUUGUAAAGCUCUGUUAAUCGGGACGAAAGGCCUUCUUGCGAAUAGUUAGAAGGAUUGACGGUACCGGAAGAGAAAGCCACGGCUAACUACGUG
rnacentral:rRNA from 1 species